rfam:Bifidobacterium actinocoloniiforme DSM 22766 Contig1, whole genome shotgun sequence.
CGGGGUAUAGCGCAGCUUGGUAGCGCGCUUCGUUCGGGACGAAGAGGCCGGGGGUUCAAAUCCCCCUACCCCGA